GAUGAACGCUGGCGGCGCGCCUAACACAUGCAAGUCGAACGAUUAAAGCACCUUCGGGUGUGUAUAAAGUGGCGAACGGCUGAGUAACACGUGGGCAACCUGCCCCUUUCAUUGGGAUAGCCACGGGAAACCGUGGAUAAUACCGAAUACUUCGAGACUUCCGCAUGGAAGACUCGAGAAAGCUCCGGCGGAGAGGGAUGGGCCCGCGGCCUGUUAGCUUGUUGGUGGGGUAACGGCCUACCAAGGCAAUGAUGGGUAGCUGGGUUGAGAGACCGACCAGCCAGAUUGGGACUGAGACACGGCCCAGACUCCUACGGGAGGCAGCAGUGGGGAAUCUUGCACAAUGGGCGAAAGCCUGAUGCAGCGACGCCGCGUGCGGGAUGAAGGCCUUCGGGUUGUAGACCGCUUUCAGCAGGGACGAGGCGAAAGUGACGGUACCUGCAGAAGAAGCCCCGGCUAACUACGUG
rnacentral:rRNA from 1 species